rnacentral:rRNA from 1 species
CAGUCGCCACGGUAAUACGAAGGGUGCAAGCGUUAAUCGGAAUUACUGGGCGUAAAGCGUGCGUAGGCGGUUUGUUAAGUCUGUUGUGAAAUCCCCGGGCUCAACCUGGGAAUGGCAAUGGAUACUGGCAAGCUAGAGUGUGUCAGAGGAUGGUGGAAUUCCCGGUGUAGCGGUGAAAUGCGUAGAGAUCGGGAGGAACAUCAGUGGCGAAGGCGGCCAUCUGGGACAACACUGACGCUGAGGCACGAAAGCGUGGGGAGCAAACAGGAUUAGAUACCCGCGUAGUCCCUGUCUCUUAUAA